AAAACUUUGACAGUGAUAUAUCAGUAGAAGAAGAUGAUGUAAAAUUGAUUGGAACGCAAAGGAAGCAGCUUGCAAUGUUGGAUCUUCUCAUAGCGGCAUAUCGUGAAGGUGUCAUGACUGAUUUAGAGAUUAGACAGGAAGUUGACACUGUUAUGACUGCGGGUCAUGAUACUACAGCGUCAAGUUUAAGUUUCAUUUUGGCAUUAUUAGCUGAACACAAGGACAUUCAGG